rfam:Stegodyphus mimosarum contig173719, whole genome shotgun sequence.
GCCUUCGUGGUGUAAUGGUCAGCACACUCGGCGUGUAUUCGGGAGGUUCAAGGUUCGAGUCCUGGCGAGGGCA